rnacentral:lncRNA from 1 species
GCCUUCCAUUUGUUUUACUGUAAGAUAAUUACAGUAUCCUUCUGCGAACUACAAUACGGCUGUAUAUAUACUGUUACUAUACUGUAUAUAUACUGUUACUAUACUGUAUAUAUACUGUUACUAUACUGUAUAUAUACUGUAUAUAUACUGUUACACUACUGUAUAUAUACUGUUACUAUACUGUAUAUAUACUGUUACUAUACUGUAUAUAUACUGUAUAUAUACUGUUACUAUACUGUAUAUAUACUGUAUAUAUACUGUUACACUACUGUAUAUAUACUGUUACUAUACUGUAUAUAUACUGUUACUAUACUGUAUAUAUACUGUAUAUAUACUGUUACACUACUGUAUAUAUACUGUUACUAUACUGUAUAUAUACUGUUACACUACUGUAUAUAUACUGUUACUAUACUGUACAUAUACUGUUACUAUACUGUUACUAUACUGUACAUAUACUGUUACUAUACUGUAUAUAUACUGUUACUAUACUGUAUAUAUACUGUUACUAUACUGUAUAUAUACUGUUACUAUACUGUUACUAUACUGUAUAUAUACUGUUACUAUACUGUAUAUAUACUGUUACUAUACUGUUACUAUACUGUAUAUAUACUGUUACUAUACUGUAUAUAUACUGUUACUAUACUGUAUAUAUACUGUUACACUACUGUAUAUAUACUGUUACUAUACUGUAUAUAUACUGUUACUAUACUGUAUAUAUACUGUUACUAUACUGUAUAUAUACUGUUACUAUACUGUAUAUAUACUGUUACUAUACUGUAUAUAUACUGUUACACUACUGUAUAUAUACUGUUACUAUACUGUAUAUAUACUGUUACUAUACUGUAUAUAUACUGUUACUAUACUGUUACUAUACUGUAUAUAUACUGUUACUAUACUGUAUAUAUACUGUUACUAUACUGUAUAUAUACUGUUACUAUACUGUACAUAUACUGUUACUAUACUGUAUAUAUACUGUUACUAUACUGUAUAUAUACUGUUACUAUACUGUUACUAUACUGUAUAUAUACUGUUACUAUACUGUACAUAUACUGUUACUAUACUGUUACUAUACUGUAUAUAUACUGUUACUAUACUGUACAUAUACUGUUACUAUACUGUAUAUAUACUGUUACUAUACUGUAUAUAUACUGUUACUAUACUGUAUAUAUACUGUUACUAUACUGUUACUAUACUGUUACUAUACUGUAUAUAUACUGUUACACUACUGUAUAUAUACUGUUACUAUACUGUACAUAUACUGUUACUAUACUGUAUAUAUACUGUUACUAUACUGUAUAUAUACUGUUACUAUACUGUUACUAUACUGUAUAUAUACUGUUACUAUACUGUAUAUAUACUGUUACACUACUGUAUAUAUACUGUUACUAUACUGUAUAUAUACUGUUACUAUACUGUUACUAUACUGUAUAUAUACUGUUACUAUACUGUUACUAUACUGUAUAUAUACUGUUACACUACUGUAUAUAUACUGUUACUAUACUGUAUAUAUACUGUUACUAUACUGUUACUAUACUGUAUAUAUACUGUUACACUACUGUAUAUAUACUGUUACUAUACUGUACAUAUACUGUUACUAUACUGUUACUAUACUGUACAUAUACUGUUACUAUACUGUAUAUAUACUGUUACUAUACUGUAUAUAUACUGUUACACAACUGUAUAUAUACUGUUACUAUACUGUUACUAUACUGUACAUAUACUGUUACUAUACUGUAUAUAUACUGUUACUAUACUGUAUAUAUACUGUUACACAACUGUAUAUAUACUGUUACUAUACUGUUACUAUACUGUAUAUAUACUGUUACACAACUGUAUAUAUACUGUUACUAUACUGUUACUAUACUGUAUAUAUACUGUAUAUAUACUGUUACACAACUGUAUAUAUACUGUUACUAUACUGUUACUAUACUGUAUAUAUACUGUUACACAACUGUAUAUAUACUGUUACUAUACUGUUACUAUACUGUAUAUAUACUGUAUAUAUACUGUUACACAACUGUAUAUAUACUGUUACACAACUGUAUAUAUACUGUUACACAACUGUAUAUAUACUGUUACUAUACUGUAUAUAUACUGUUACACAACUGUAUAUAUACUGUUACUAUACUGUAUAUAUACUGUUACACAACUGUAUAUAUACUGUUACACAACUGUAUAUAUACUGUUACUAUACUGUACAUAUACUGUUACACAACUGUAUAUAUACUGUUACACAACUGUAUAUAUACUGUUACUAUACUGUACAUAUACUGUUACACUACUGUAUAUAUACUGUAUAUAUACUGUAUAUAUACUGUUACACUACAGUAUAUAUACAGUAGUGUUACACUACUGUAUAUAUACUGUAUAUAUACUGUUACACUACUGAACCGCAGCAGCAGAUUUAGGCCACGUUCAUUUCGGCCUCUACAAUUCUUUCACCUUCUUAAAUUUGUUUUACCAAACACGAUUUCACUGAUCUUCACCAAACUGUGUAAAAUCCACAUUUAG